rnacentral:piRNA from 1 species
UUAGAGUCUUUACAUGAAAUAUCAGAAUGGG